CAACAGGCUGGCCCUCAGAGAAGCCUGAGCAGCUGGCCGUUCUCUAACUUGCUGGCAUCAUGUGAGACUUGGUGGAUCUACCAUUUCCUCUGACCUCACUCUCCCUUCCUUGUGGGCCAUUCAACUGUAUUGAACUAGUAUUCUCCAGUUCUAAGAGGGGAGACGGGGCGCCCUGGACUCCAGAUGAUCACCUCCUCCUUCUGGUCCUGGAGCAGAGAGUGUUCAUCCUGUGGAGACGACGAAGAAUCCUCAUAGCAUCCAUUCCACUCAUCAGGACGUGACUUCACCCCAGAAACCUUCUCUGCUUGCGUCCCCCAGCCGUCCUUGCUCCCUGCUUCCCUCUCUAUACCCACAGGGGCUGGUGGUUGCCCAGGUUCUGCAGUGUCUGCGAAAUUGUGGCUUAUUGACAUCAGAGAGGUGGAGAGGCUGUGGACCAGCUUCGACAGAGGAGACGAAGGAUAGAGCUGGCAGUCACAUGACUACGAGGGAAAAUGAAGGAAAACAGAGGACAGUGUUUCUCAAAAGAAGUGGGCUUCACUCCUCUGGGCCACCUUGAGUCUUCGGACCUGUGAGGACAGAAGGCGGGAUGAUGGUGUCAGGGGCCACAGGAAGGGAGGGUGUGGCAUUCCUGAUCAUGGCUUGAGUGGGCUUGAAUGAAGUCCUGGGAGAAGACAACAAGAUGAAUGCAUUGAAGGCUCCUGAGCUGCACUCUUAAAAAAUGGUUAGAAUGAUAGCUCCGUGCUAUGGAUAUUUUACCACGAUUUUUAAAAAGGAUUAAAAAAAAAAUCGGUUUCUUUUUUCUUUCUUUUCAUGCUUGAGAGGCUACAUGUUAAAACAGCCUGUCAAUGGCCUGGUGUGUGGAGCAGCCCAAAUACAACACACAUGUACAAGGGAUGGGGUUUGUUUCUGUUUGUUAAUUUUUGUUAUUUUAUAGUAAUCCCAUAAAAAGCCCUCCACUCCCAUGUAGCCUUACUGCUGCCAGAGUCCUCUGCCUCGAGAUGGAAUGUUCCACCACAGCAUGCAUGGCACCUUUUAUAUUUGCUCACUGAAAUGUCACAGGCCAGUUUAACCAGCAGACAAUGGUGAAGUUUGGUGAAAUCAUCCUAGGACAAAGGACCUGCUGGGCAGUACCCCAUCACCUCUACCAUCGGUUUCCUUGUCCUUGAAGUGGGCCAAGCAUUGAUGGAAACUCAUGGUGGACAUGAAUUUGUCCAAACAGGACCCUAAUGAUCCGGGAGUAUACAAGCAAGCCAAUUUGUUGGGAAAAUGAUGAUGAUCUUUUUCCUCCUCCUACAUCCUUGUCUAUAACUUGCCCCAGAGGCUCACCUGACACCAAAGAAGACAAGUCCUCCUCCAUUAACAUAAUAGGUAAAGGCAUGUUGGCAACUAUGUAACGUAAUGCUUAGGCAUGCACACUCUGAAGCCAGUCUGCCCGUGUCCUAGUGUUACUACUGAGUGUGUGAUCUUGGGCCAAGUUAUGUGACCUCAGUUUUCUUACCUGUGAAAUAGGAUGAUCAUAAGCAUAGCUAGUAUUUGUAAAGCACACAGAGGGAAUUUGGUGCCUGGCAUGGACUAUAUGAAUAUUCAUGAUUUAGAGCUUGAGGGUAUCCCCUGCAGGACCACCAUAGUAAUAUAAGAAGCUCUCCUCUUUGAGUCUCUUGAUGUCUUUCUACCUGUCUGCAUGGAAGUUGUAAAGGCUAUAAUUUUUUUUAAGUUUUUAUUUGUUUAUUUGAGAGAGAGAGAAAGAGAGAGAGCAGGAGUGGGGUGGGGGGCGGGGAGAAGGAAGCAGAGGGAGAGGGAAAAGCAGACUCCCUGCUAAGCAGGGAGCCUGAUGUGGAACUUCAUCCCAAGACCCUGAGAUCAUGACCUGAGCUGAAGGCAGACACCCAACCAACUGAGCCUCCCAAGUAUACCAAAGCUGUAAUGUUUUUAGUAUAAUUAUUAUUAAGCCUCCGUCUUCUCUCCCUUGACCUCUAAAUCUGAAUUAAGGCACAAAGGAAACUAUUCUAUUAAAAAAUAAUGGCUAUUUUAAAUUAUAAAAGUGGUAUAUAUGGCUAAUGUAAAAAGUACGAGAAGUAAAGAAAUUACUUUAAAACUCAUUACUGUACCUACCCCCUAGUGUAAGCCACUACUCACAUUAUACUCUUCCUCAGUUACUAUCAAGUAUCCCAAUGCUUAUGGUUUCUACAUAGCUUUCCCCCCUCUCACCCCCUCUUUUCUAGGGCAAGAUCCCAGUUGGGACGACCUAUGGAUAGAAAAAGUUAAAUAAGCUUAAUGAUUUUACUUAAGCUAAAUAAGCUUAAUGAUUUCAAUUUUGUAUAAGAAAAUGUUUAGAUUUUAUUGCUACAUAAAAGAAUUCUAAUUAUAAUUUGGCCGUGUUUACAAAGUCAUUUGCAAAGAACUUUAAAAUAUGUAUAAUUUCCUACUAUGCCACAAUAUUAAAAAUGGCUUUCAUUUAAUGUAUUAAAUUAAAUUAAACUCACUAAUGCUGUGUAAAUCUGGGCAAGAAAGAUAAUAAAUUAUAAAUUCCCAAAGUGUUUGAAUGAAUGACCUUAACAAUUAUAAAUAACACAGGAGCUUCCUCAAAGUUAGACUGUUUCUGUACAAGAAGGAAAUCAGUCAAAAUCAAUUUUAGUUUUGAGAAAUAAUUCUGUUUCUAUGAGGAAUGGAUUUACCAAGGCUGGGCAGUGACAGUGGAUGCGAUGCUCUUGGACAACAGGGCUCAGUCUCUCCACGCGCUGUGUGACAGCCAUUGGGGUGGGAAGGUGUUGGGAAAAUGAGAAUGGCAUGGGAGAUGCUAGGGGACUUCUUUUCCCUUCCACAUGUUAUGUGUUCUUGGAGGCAUUGGUAGCUCAUGCCUUUGUCUUUUGUUGCCCUUCAAUCCUCAACCAUCUUCCCCAUCUUCUGUCCUCCUCUUCCCUAAUCCUGACCCCCAUUUGCUGAAAGUCACUCAAGCUGCAUACAAUAAAUAAAAGUAUUAAGCAUUCUUAUGGAA